rnacentral:lncRNA from 1 species
GGCGCCCGGGCAGCUCUCCCCGCCGCGCACUCGCGCGCACGCCGCCGGCGCCGGCCCUCUCGGCUGAUCGCUGCCGCGUCUUCCCUCCCAUUCGCCCUCCUCGCCUUUUCCUCCCGAGCAUGACAAGAGGCGCAAAAAUAAUAAAAACCAAGACAAGCCACAUAAAAGCAACCUAAAAAUUAAUCUGUCAUCAUAUUAUUUGUUUUAAAACUAUGGAAUAAAAUAUCUGAGGAAGAUUUCUCUCAAAAUUGUUUUUCUCAAUUUCAAGUAAGUAAUUUAUUUUGGUUGAUAUAUUGGGGAUGAGGGGAGGUGGGAGUGAACCUUGGCAUUGAAGUUUAUAAAUCUACUCAUCCUUAAAGUAACAACUCAAAGAUUAACCACUUGAAAGCCUUCUGUGACUCCUUUGCCCAUUCCCAAAAGAUCCUCUUUGGUUUCCCACAGUCCUAGCCUCCUUUCACGUUGCCGAUGAAGGACUGACUGCACGGAGUGUUGUAUUU